rnacentral:rRNA from 1 species
UACGUAGGGUGCAAGCGUUAAUCGGAAUUACUGGGCGUAAAGCGUGCGCAGGCGGUUUUGUAAGUUUGUCGUGAAAUCCCCGGGCUUAACCUGGGAAUGGCGAUGGAGACUGCAAGGCUAGAGUUUGGCAGAGGGGGGUAGAAUUCCACGUGUAGCAGUGAAAUGCGUAGAGAUGUGGAGGAACACCGAUGGCGAAGGCAGCCCCCUGGGUCAAAACUGACGCUCAUGCACGAAAGCGUGGGGAGCAAACAGG